rnacentral:lncRNA from 1 species
GAGCCACUCCCAGAGCUAAUAUAGGGGGUGGAGGUAUUUUAGUUUUCUUCAGCCACAGUGGAGAGACCUUGUUAACAGCCUGGGGAAUGAGACCCCAAAAGGAUCACCCGUUUUAGUAGGGCUUAACAAGCUCCUGAGUAAGGCUACUCUGGACCUGUCCUAACAGAGCUUCAAAACAAGACUCAAAACAACCAAACUGAUUUACAAGCUAUUAAGCAGCCUUCCAAAAAAUGUCUAAUGCUCUUUAAAGGAAUUCAACAAAAUUCAACACUCAACAACAUAAAAUUUACAGUGACUGGAAUUAAAUUAAAAUUUAUUUUACAUGAGAAGAAGCUGAAAAGUUGACAUAUUACCAGGAGAAAAAUCAUCAAUGAAAACACCCAGCAAUGACAGACAUAAUGGAAUUUGAAGGAAAAGAUUUUAAAAUAGCUAUUAUAAAUGUGAUCAAAUAUUUAAAGGAAAACAUGACUAUGAAGAGGAGAGUACUAGAUGAUAUAAAAGGGAACCAAAUAGAACUUUUAGAGGUGAAAAAUAACAAAUUUGGAAUGAAAAAUUUACUAUUUUGGCAUAACAGGAAAUUAGAUACUGCAGAAAAAAUAUGAGUGAGUGUGAAGACAUAGCAACAGAAACUAUUUAAUCUGAAGCAGAGAGACAGACAGAAGAUUGAAACAAACAGCAAACAAACAAGGAAAUACAGCCUCAGAGAUCUAUGGGACACUAGUAAGCAGUUUAACACAUAUGUUAGUCCCCAAAGGGAGGAGAGAGAGAAGUCAGGAAAAAUACUUGAAUAAUUAAUGGCCAAAAGUGUUGCAAAUUUGAUUAAAAAAUAUAUAUCCAAUGAUCCAUAGAUCUCAACUAUAAGCAGAAGAAAAUCAAAGAAAAUCACAUUAAGCCAUAUCAUACUCAAAUUGUUGAAAGUCGUUGAUAAAGAGAAAAAAUCUAUAAAGGAGACAGUGGAAACAGAUGUACUUCAUAAAGGAGGAAAAGAUAAUUAUCACAGAUUUUUUGUCAGAAUCAAUGCAAACCAGAAGUAAAGAAAGUCAACCUAUAAUUCUAUAAAAUAAAGACUUUUUCAGAUAAACAGAAGCUGAAAGAGAAAUCAUCACCCACAGACAUGAGUGUAAGAAGUUUUAAGAAAGAAGAAAGAUCUACAAUCAAUGAUCUCAGCUUCUGCCUUAAGGAGCUAGACACAAAGAUGGCAAACUGACCACAAAGAAGAUUAGCCCAGAGCUAACAUCUGCCACCAAUCCUCCUCUUUCUGCUGAGGAAGACUGGCCCUGAGCUCACAUCUGUGCCCAUCUUCCUCUACCUUCUUUGUGAGACGCCUGCCGCAGCAUGGCUUGACAAGCGGUGCAUAG